rnacentral:rRNA from 1 species
GUGGGGAAUAUUGGACAAUGGGCGCAAGCCUGAUCCAGCCAUACCGCGUGGGUGAAGAAGGCCUUCGGGUUGUAAAGCCCUUUUGUUGGGAAAGAAAUCCUGUCGGUUAAUACCUGGCGGGGAUGACGGUACCCAAAGAAUAAGCACCGGCUAACUUCGUGCCAGCAGCCGCGGUAAUACGAAGGGUGCAAGCGUUACUCGGAAUUACUGGGCGUAAAGCGUGCGUAGGUGGUGGUUUAAGUCCGUUGUGAAAGCCCUGGGCUCAACCUGGGAAUUGCAGUGGAUACUGGAUCACUAGAGUGUGGUAGAGGGAUGCGGAAUUUCUGGUGUAGCAGCGAAAUGCGUAGAGAUCAGAAGGAACAUCCGUGGCGAAGGCGGCAUCCUGGGCCAACACUGACACUGAGGCACGAAAGCGUGGGGAGCAAACAGGAUUAGAAACCCUAGUAGUCC